GAGAUCAAUUCAUUCUGACCCCUCAGAAUUUCAAUAGACUGAUUGGGGGGAGCUUCCUGACCUGCACUCGCAGGGGGGCCUCUGUGAGGGUGGCCCAGGCUGGG